rnacentral:rRNA from 1 species
GAUGAACGCUGGCGGCGUGCCUAAUACAUGCAAGUCGAGCGAACAGGCGAGGAGCUUGCUCCUCUGUCAUGAGCAGCGGACGGGUGAGUAACACGUGGAUAAUCUACCUAUGAGCGUGGGAUAACUUCGGGAAACCGAUGCUAAUACCGGAUAAUAACUUUAAACAUAUGGUUCAAUAGUGAAAGAUGCUUUUGCUUUCACUAAUAAAUGUACCCGGGUCUCUUUAGUAGGUUGGUAGGGAAAGGGCUUACCAAGGCAACGUACAGUGCCGACCCUGAGAGGGUGAUGGGCCAAAUUGGAAUGGAGACACGGCCCAGACUCCUACGGGAGGAGGCAGAAGGGAAUCUUCGGCAAUGGGCGAAAGCCUGACGGAGCAACGCGGGGGGGUGGAGGAAGGUCUUCGGUUCGAAAAACUCGGUUAUUGGGGAGGAAGAAGGGGGGAAGUAAAUGUGCACGUAUUGACGGUACCUAAUCAGAAAGCCACGGCUAACUACGUG